AAGGAGAAGAAAGAUCGAGUGACGAGGGAGAGAGGGAGAGAGCCAAGGAAGGGAAAGGAACUUUUUUUUUUUUUUAAUUUUGAAAAAAAGAAGAAAAAAAAAGAAA
rnacentral:ribozyme from 1 species